AUUGAACGCUGGCGGCAUGCCUUACACAUGCAAGUCGAGCGCGAAAGGGGGCAACCCCGAGUAGAGCGGCGGACGGGUGAGUAACACAUCGGAACGUGCCCAGUAGUGGGGGACAACCUCGAGAAAUCGAGGCUAAUACCGCAUACGACCCACGGGUGAAAGCGGGGGGCCCAAACGGAAAACUGAGGGCCUCGCGCUAUUGGAGCGGCCGAUGUCCGAUUAGCUAGUUGGCGGGGUAAGAGCCCACCAAGGCGACGAUCGGUAGCUGGUCUGAGAGGACGACCAGCCACACUGGGACUGAGACACGGCCCAGACUCCUACGGGAGGCAGCAGUGGGGAAUUUUGGACAAUGGGGGCAACCUGAUCCAGCCAUGCCGCGUGCGGGAAGAAGGCCUCGGUUGUAA
rnacentral:rRNA from 1 species